CCUAUAUGUAACGGCAGGAUGGCGCUAUGUGUAACGGCAGGAUGGCGCUAUGUGUAACGGCAGGAUGGCGCUAUGUGUAACGGCAGGAUGAUGUUAUAUGUUACUUUACAAUAACAUUAUUUGUUUCAGUAGAAUUCAAUGUGCAGAGCGUAGGAACAAAAACAGAUCUGCUUAGGUCACAAGAGACGUCUGACACUUGUAGAGGAUUUAUACAAUAUCCCAAAUUUUCUGUUUGCUUUUGAACUGAGAGCUUUUUGUAAUUCAUAUAUAUAUAUGUUUUUUGUCCUUGUAAUACGUUGUUUGUGAAAGUAUAAGGAAAUCGUGUCCUCCCAGUGUGGAAUCCAUUCAUUAUUUAUGGUUUUCAUAAUAAAUGUCAGAUUGACGUGAUUUUACAUGCUGCCCUGUCCUUGCACAUGGCACAGUACUGACACAAUUGGAAUCCUGCAAACUUGCAAAUCGCCGUGUACACUUAGGGAGAGGAGGUUGUUUUCUUGGGAACCAGGAGGACGUUGGCUUUUUGUGACAAUGAAUCUGGGUGUCAUGGCAUUGCUUGGCGCCG